UGGGGAAUAUUGCACAAUGGGCGCAAGCCUGAUGCAGCCAUGCCGCGUGUGUGAAAAAGGCCUUCGGGUUGUAAAGCACUUUCAGCGGGGAGGAAGGCGAUAAGGUUAAUAACCUUGUCGAUUGACGUUACCCGCAGAAGAAGCACCGGCUAACUCCGUGCCAGCAGCCGCGGUAAUACGGAGGGUGCAAGCGUUAAUCGGAAUUACUGGGCGUAAAGCGCACGCAGGCGGUCUGUCAAGUCGGAUGUGAAAUCCCCGGGCUCAACCUGGGAACUGCAUUCGAAACUGGCAGGCUAGAGUCCUGUAGAGGGGGGUAGAAUUCCAGGUGUAGCGGUGAAAUGCGUAGAGAUCUGGAGGAAUACCGGUGGCGAAGGCGGCCCCCUGGACAAAGACUGACGCUCAGGUGCGAAAGCGUGGGGAGCAAACAGG
rnacentral:rRNA from 1 species